ACGUGUGUUUCCUUUAGAUGGCAGGAUAAAAACAAGAGUCGACAUAAAUUAGGUUAUGGCAAAUUUGCGUUUCUACCACAGUUCGGUUACCAAAACGAUAACAGCUCGAUACUUGUCGUUGCAUCCAAUUUCGACACACGUGCCUAGUUCAUGAAUACUUGAGAUAAAAAGGUUUUAGUUUCCAUCAUGUAUGAACCUGUGAUUUCGAGAACGUUGAAUAUCGAACGAAAGAGGGAAGGGUCACGGCGUGAAGUGGUUGUGUAUAAUUUUACGGAACGAAAGAGGAAAAAAGUGACGGUGCAAAACGGUUGGGUAUAAUUUUGGCAGCGAGCCUCAUCGUCACGCUACACUGGAAGAAAGUCUGAAUGAAGGUGCAACAAGAGGGCGACGUAGCGCGACGUUUAAACGCCUCGUGAAACGAUAUUGCAUGAAGGAGACUUCGUAUCGCAACGGAUCAUUCGGAGAUUACAAGAAAUCAAAGCCCGGUUACAUCAAAGCCCGUUAUUGAGUAAGCAUCGCUGCUGUAAGGAUGUGGUGAAUCAAAUUGUGCCGCUUUGCGCCGUUGACACAAAGAUUUCGAGGACCCCGUGAGUCACGUGGGACGCGCUGGUCGACUCUCGGAUCGUCGAAUUGACGAUUCGGAUCUGGCGAGGUUAUGGGAGAACGUCCUUGAUAUCGGCCUAAAUUCCUGUGGACGCAUUCAGGCAUUUUCUCCAUAACGUAAUUCCAGAGGCAAGUAGAGGCAAGCAGAGGAGACGGGCAAAACUGAAGACGAGCGAAAGUGUGCUCGGUAUGGUGGCCCUCACGGUGAAAGUCAAACUAAUUACGAGACGGGCACGGGCACGUAAGCUGCCCGGAGAGUUAGCGUUGCAAAACAAUCCUCUUCGCUACGAAUAUUAACCCGGAACACCUGCCGCUUUCCACUGCCCGCACCAAAUUCCUUCUCAUUCUCAAGCCUCCUCUUCGUUCGUGAUACUCUUCACUGGCUCAAUCUUUAUCUUCGCCCGGCUCGCCGUCCUCUUUCCCUCGUCCGUUAAAUCAUUCGGUUCUUCCGCCUUGACCAUAUCCGGACCAAAUGGAACUUAUCGAAUUUACAGGAGUACCAUGCAUAAAAAGUUGGAGAAGAAGAAUUGCCUGUCUUAUUAAAUAUUAGGAUUAUAUGGGAAGUAAGAAAUAUAUCCCAUUUUGUACAAGAGAUCAUAAAGGUUCUUGUAUGUGCUAGCGUCUGCAACCUUCAGCACUUGGCCGCAUGGUGCAGCACUAGUUCGUGAACAACCAGAACCAAGAGCGUGUAUUCAACCAGACCUGCCAACAGUUCGCAGCGAAAGACAAAUAAGCUCUUGGAGCUCUUUGGAAACCAUUCAUAAAGAAAGAAAUAUAUAACUGGGAAGCAAAAAUGAAAAUCUUCGAUGUAACAGUAGCCGCCAUAUUUACACAUACAUGUAGUAUAUAAAGAUUUAUCGUUGGAUACACAACUAACAUAGAAACGACGGUAUUCCAUACUCCACUUACUGAGAUUCGAAACAGGGAGAACAAAUGUGGGAAUCAUAUAGAAGGCGUUGCGGUAGAGAAUUAAAUUACUGAAAAUAGAGGGCACAAGGUUUCGAGGAGAGGUUGCGACGGACUAGGACCAACUGGACGAUGUAGAAAAACGAGAAAACUGGUAAGAAACUAGUAUACACAAAUUAAAAAUAUACUCAGUAAAACCGAUCAGGAAGAGUUAUGCAAAUAAGAAAGAACUUACCAAGCAUCCUAGGGAAGGUCAGAGAGAGAAGCUUAUUUUAAAGGACACGAUGAUACGAAGGACAAAAGAAACAAGGACCUACAGUCAUACAAACAUGAAGACUAUAUCUAGUUACAACUGCCAACACACAUGAUAAGGAACAUAGCGCUGCUUAGACUAGUUCAGAGGGAAGAAAUCCAACAGAUCAAUUUUUACUAUUUUGCAAAGGUGUCUACAGAUUAUUGUAAUGUAAAUAAAUGCAAUGGAAAAUAA